rnacentral:rRNA from 1 species
AUUGAACGCUGGCGGCAUGCCUUACACAUGCAAGUCGAACGGUAACGGGCCUUCGGGUGCCGACGAGUGGCGAACGGGUGAGUAAUGUAUCGGAACGUACCUUUCAGUGGGGGAUAACGUAGCGAAAGUUACGCUAAUACCGCAUAUUCUGUGAGCAGGAAAGCAGGGGAUCGCAAGACCUUGCGCUGAUUGAGCGGCCGAUAUCAGAUUAGCUAGUUGGUGAGGUAAAGGCUCACCAAGGCGACGAUCUGUAGCGGGUCUGAGAGGAUGAUCCGCCACACUGGAACUGAGACACGGUCCAGACUCCUACGGGAGGCAGCAGUGGGGAAUUUUGGACAAUGGGGGGCAACCCUGAUCCAGCCAUGCCGCGUGAGUGAAGAAGGCCUUC